UAUUGCACAAUGGGGGAAACCCUGAUGCAGCGACGCCGCGUGAGUGAGGAAGUCUUUCGGCAUGUAAAGCUCUAUCAGCAGGGAAGAAAAUGACGGUAACUGACUAAGAAGCCCCGGCUAACUACGUGCCAGCAGCCGCGGUAAUACGUAGGGAGCAAGCGUUGUCCGGAAUUACUGGGCGUAAAGGGCGCGUAGGUGGGCGCUUAAGUCAGGUGUGAAAACUCCGGGCUCAACCUGUAGACUGCACUUGAAACUGGGUGUCUUGAGGGCAGGAGAGGAAAGUGGAAUUCCUAGUGUAGCGGUGAAAUACGUAGAUAUUAGGAGGAACACCAGUGGCGAAGGCGACUUUCUGGACUGUACCUGACGCUGAGGCGCGAAAGCGUGGGUAGCGA
rnacentral:rRNA from 1 species